CCCUUGAUAGCUCAGUUGGAAGAGCGAGAGACUGUAAAUCUCUAGGUCACUGGUUCGAUCCCGGUUCGAGGGA
rnacentral:tRNA from 2 species